UUACUGAGAUGAGAAGUAGGCCACUGAAAACAUUUCAGCCCGAGUAGUUUUUCGUUCGCUAGUUGAAAGAGCUGUUGAUUGCCUUAAGCGAGGAAAACGUCAUUGAAUUGUUCUCGAUACAGGGUUGAACCCCCCUAAAAGUUUUAUGGUACACUGAGCAUUUAGAAGGCGAGAAUCCUUUCCUUAGCAGGUGUCCAUGAAACCUGUCGUUCCUGGAGAUGUCAGCAGUCAUCACUUUCGUUGCAGAUGGAUAAUCGCUAAAAUGACAGCCUGAACAACCUUUUUUUUUAGCACUUGUCUGAAGAAAUACCCCACAUGAUUUUUAUCACAGGUUUAUUUAAUUUUCAGGAAAUAAUUUUCGAUAUAACGCAACCGCAGAGCCAAUAUUGCGUUCAUAUUUGAAAAUGAAACCUUUUUCGUGUGGUUCAAAUUGUUGCAGAGUAAAUUCUCUCUCUGGUUGCACCUGUCUUAGCUUUCAAAGUGACUAGCUCGAGACAAAAGUUUACAAAUGAUUGCAAUACCAGUUAACGAAUAAAAAUUAACGCAUUCUUGUUCCGCCUCUCACCUAAUUUCUAUGAGGUUUGAGAUGAAAUUUUUGAACAAAAGUUUUCGUUAAACGUCCAUGUUUUUAGUUCAUUUAUGGCAGCGCGUCUUGAAUGCACCGAACUGUAAGAGUGAAAGAAAGAAGACCACUGCUUCCUCUACGAAUUAAUUAUAGCUAAAUAAUUUCUCUGUGUUUUCAGCUCCAUAUUUUAAAAUUCAAAACGAAUAAAUUGUACUUUCAGGUUAUUUCAAAAGAUAAAGUUUCAAUUUUCCAUUAUCUUUAAAAUUGCAAUCUACCAAUAGUUACGAAAAAUAGUGGUCUAACACUCAGUUACAGGGUUUUUCGCGGUGCUUUCCUUUUGCAGAGUCCCUUUGCUCUACGAGGGAUCUGCAAAGCAAUUUCAUUUUUUCUCCGAAUUACCAAAGCUUUAUUUCAUACAGUUUGACACAAAUUCCCGCAGGUCCAAACUACUGACCACCUGUUCCAAACUGAGCAAUCUAUCUUUGCAAAUUGGUGUGGGAAAACAUGAAACAAUUUGGAAACUGAAAGAUAGAAUUUUGAUAAAUAAAUUUCUAGAGAGUUGCCAUUCUAUUUCGUCGAUUGUUUCAUGUCUUCUGACAUUUUAAACAAUGACUCGAUAGUAAUAGAUCCUUUAUAGAAAACAAAAGAUUUCUGUAAAAUAUGCGUUCUGAGUCCAUUUUGAGUUAUAAAAAAUCAUAUAAGUUAGAGAUUCUCGCCUAGAGAGCCUAACAGUCAUAAGAGGAAAAGCCAGUUCUAAGCUUCUAGAAACAAAGACUUUGUUUAAUAUUAUAACCAUUUAAUUAACCAAUUAGAUAAUUAAACUAAAUGUUUUGUUUUAAGAUAAUUAAUAGAAUAGACCUGCAUUGUUGUGUCUUAGCAAAACGUUUCGUAACGUUUCUAGUUGUCACUUGUUGCCUUAGUUUGUUUUGGAUGUUGCAUUUUCUUUCACGUGAAUGUCAAAUAUAA